rnacentral:rRNA from 1 species
UGGGAGGAGCUGCUAGAAUGCAUUGCCCUGCAUGCUCUGUCCCUUGAGUCGGAUGCCAUGUCUUUUCAUUUGGAGCCCAAUGGGAACUUUUCCACCAGGUCCUUGUACCAGACCCUGGUGGCUACUCCUGGGGCUCAGGAGUUAAAUCUCCAUUGGGAGAUUAGAGUACCACUCAAGAUUCAAAUCUUCCUUUGACAAUGGGUGUGGGGCCGCCUCCCAUCCGGUACGGAAGUGCGCAAGCGCAAUGGCCCUGUGGAUGGUAAUUGUCCCCUGUGCGGUGUCCUUGAGGACACUAACCAUAUUUUCUUCCGUUGUCCGGCUGCAAUUUUCUUAUGGAGCUGCCUUCAAGAGACAGUGGGAGGCAACUGGGCCCAUGACAACCUCCCGGAUCUCUUCCGGGAAAUUAUUGAUUCCCUGUGUAGAACUCUCCCUGCCCAUUGGGUGGCGAUUAGUGCACUAGCUUGGACGCUCUGGAAUGUGCACACUAAACUUGUGAUUGAACAUGUGAUUCCGCUUUGGACGACUGACGCCAUUUACAAAAUGUGCGGAUUCUUGCAGGUCUGGCGGCCGUUUAGCAAGCGGCGUCAUCGGGACGGCAUCAACACCAUCAUCGCCGGACUUUGCUCCACCGCCAUCUCCCUCGCGCCACCGUUACCUCCUCCACCCCCGGAGCCUGAUUAG